rnacentral:rRNA from 1 species
UACGUAGGGAGCAAGCGUUGUCCGGAAUCAUUGGGCGUAAAGCGCGCGUAGGUGGCCUCAUAAGUCCGCUGUGAAAGUCAAAGGCUCAACCUUUGAAAGCCGGUGGAUACUGUGGGGCUAGAGUACGGAAGAGGCGAGUGGAAUUCCUGGUGUAGCGGUGGAAUGCGCAGAUAUCAGGAGGAACACCAAUAGCGAAGGCAGCUCGCUGGGACGUUACUGACACUGAGGCGCGAAAGCGUGGGGAGCGAA